rnacentral:rRNA from 1 species
UACGUAUGGUGCAAGCGUUAUCCGGAUUUACUGGGUGUAAAGGGAGCGCAGGCGGUUCUGCAAGUCUGAUGUGAAAGCCCGGGGCUCAACCGCGGGACUGCAUUGGAGACUGCGGGACUGGAGUGUCGGAGGGGUAAGCGGAAUUCCUGGUGUAGCGGUGAAAUGCGUAGAUAUCAGGAGGAACACCGGUGGCGAAGGCGGCUUACUGGACGAUGACUGACGCUGAGGCUCGAAAGCGUGGGGAGCAAACAGG